AACGUAGGUCACAAGCGUUGUCCGGAAUUACUGGGUGUAAAGGGAGCGCAGGCGGGAAGACAAGUUGGAAGUGAAAUCCAUGGGCUCAACCCAUGAACCGCUUUCAAAACUGUUUUUCUUGAGUAGUGCAGAGGUAGGCGGAAUUCCCGGUGUAGCGGUGGAAUGCGUAGAUAUCGGGAGGAACACCAGUGGCGAAGGCGGCCUACUGGGCACCAACUGACGCUGAGGCUCGAAAGUGUGGGUAGCAAACAGG
rnacentral:rRNA from 1 species